AACGCAGGUGGUUUGGUAAGUCAGGGGUGAAAGUCCACAGCUUAACUGUGGCACUGCCUUUGAUACUACCUUUCUUGAGUGCAUGAGGGGGAAGCGGAAUUCCGAGUGUAGAGGUGAAAUUCGUAGAUAUUCGGAGGAACACCGGUGGCGAAGGCGGCUUCCUGGCAUGUAACUGACACUCAUGUUCGAAAGCGUGGGGAGCAAACAGGAUUAGAUACCCUGGUAGUCCACGCCCUAAACGAUGGGCACUAGGUGUGGGAGGUAUCGACCCCUUCGUGCCGCAGCUAACGCAUUAAGUGCCCCGCUGGGGAGUACGGCCGCAAGGUUGAA
rnacentral:rRNA from 1 species